ACCCAGAUAACGAGUCGCAAACGAGACGAAAUGUACAUCCUGGAU
rnacentral:hammerhead_ribozyme from 1 species